GAGUGUGAUCAUGGCUCAGAUUGAACGCUGGCGGCAGGCCUAACACAUGCAAGUCGAACGGUAACAGGAAACAGCUUGCUGUUUCGCUGACGAGUGGCGGACGGGUGAGUAAUGUCUGGGAAACUGCCUGAUGGAGGGGGAUAACUACUGGAAACGGUAGCUAAUACCGCAUAACGUCGCAAGACCAAAGAGGGGGACCCUCGGGCCUCUUGCCAUCGGAUGUGCCCAGAUGGGAUUAGCUUGUUGGUGGGGUAACGGCUCACCAAGGCGACGAUCCCUAGCUGGUCUGAGAGGAUGACCAGCCACACUGGAACUGAGACACGGUCCAGACUCCUACGGGAGGCAGCAGUGGGGAAUAUUGCACAAUGGGCGCAAGCCUGAUGCAGCCAUGCCGCGUGUAUGAAGAAGGCCUUCGGGUUGUAAAGUACUUUCAGCGGGGAGGAAGGGAGUAAAGUUAAUACCUUUGCUCAUUGACGUUACCCGCAGAAGAAGCACCGGCUAACUCCGUGCCAGCAGCCGAUAAUACGGAGGGUGCAAGCGUUAAUCGGAAUUACUGGGCGUAAAGCGCACGCAGGCGGUUUGUUAAGUCAGAUGUGAAAUCCCCGGGCUCAACCUGGGAACUGCAUCUGAUACUGGCAAGCUUGAGUCUCGUAGAGGGGGGGUAGAAUUCCAGGUGUAGCGGUGAAAUGCGUAGAGAUCUGGAGGAAUACCGGUGGCGAAGGCGGCCCCCUGGACGAAGACUGACGCUCAGGUGCGAAAGCGUGGGGAGCAAACAGGAUUAGAUACCCUGGUAGUCCACGCCGUAAACGAUGUCGACUUGGAGGUUGUGCCCUUGAGGCGUGGCUUCCGGAGCUAACGCGUUAAGUCGACCGCCUGGGGAGUACGGCCGCAAGGUUAAAACUCAAAUGAAUUGACGGGGGCCCGCACAAGCGGUGGAGCAUGUGGUUUAAUUCGAUGCAACGCGAAGAACCUUACCUGGUCUUGACAUCCACGGAAGUUUUCAGAGAUGAGAAUGUGCCUUCGGGAACCGUGAGACAGGUGCUGCAUGGCUGUCGUCAGCUCGUGUUGUGAAAUGUUGGGUUAAGUCCCGCAACGAGCGCAACCCUUAUCCUUUGUUGCCAGCGGUCCGGCCGGGAACUCAAAGGAGACUGCCAGUGAUAAACUGGAGGAAGGUGGGGAUGACGUCAGGUCAUCAUGGCCCUUACGACCAGGGCUACACACGUGCUACAAUGGCGCAUACAAAGAGAAGCGACCUCGCGAGAGCAAGCGGACCUCAUAAAGCGCGUCGUAGUCCGGAUUGGAGUCUGCAACUCGACUCCAUGAAGUCGGAAUCGCUAGUAAUCGUGGAUCAGAAUGCCACGGUGAAUACGUUCCCGGGCCUUGUACACACCGCCCGUCACACCAUGGGAGUGGGUUGCAAAAGAAGUAGGUAGCUUAACCUUCGGGAGGGCGCUUACCACUUUGUGAUUCAUGACUGGGGUGAAGUCGUAACAAGGUA
rnacentral:rRNA from 1 species